rnacentral:rRNA from 1 species
UACGUAGGCAGCGAGCGUUGUUCGGAUUUACUGGGCGUAAAGCGUGCGUAGGUGGUUCGUUAAGUCUGAUGUGAAAGCCCUGGGCUCAACCUGGGAAUGGCAUUGGAAACUGGCGAUCUAGAGUGCGGUAGAGGGUAGUGGAAUUCCCGGUGUAGCAGUGAAAUGCGUAGAGAUCGGGAGGAACAUCUGUGGCGAAGGCGACUGCCUGGACCAGCACUGACACUGAGGCACGAAAGCGUGGGGAGCAAACAGG